rnacentral:rRNA from 1 species
UACGUAGGGGGCAAGCGUUGUCCGGAUUUAUUGGGCGUAAAGAGCGUGUAGGCGGUUCGGUAGGUCCGUUGUGAAAACUCGAGGCUCAACCUCGAGACGCCGAUGGAAACCCUCGAACUAGAGUCCGGAAGAGGAGAAUGGAAUUCCUGGUGUAGCGGUGAAAUGCGCAGAUAUCAGGAAGAACACCCGUGGCUAAGGAGGUUCUCUAGUACGGUACUGACGCUGAGACGCGAAAGCGUGGGGAGCGAACAGG